CGGACUCCCACACCAGCACGCACACUUCAAGACCAGGAAACAAAUAAAUGCAUUAAACGAGAGAAAGGGCCGACUCUUAAAAACAGACAGGAAAAUGACACCCACUGAAGAGGAAGAGGGUGACAGACAGACUGCAGCCACUCCAACACAUCAAAGCUGUUGGUAGAAAACUGUCUGCAAGCCAUCAGCCAUGAGAACGGCAGAGAGAAGGAGAGACCAGAAUGAACAGUUGCUAGUAAACUGUCUGAAAACCAUCAGCCAUGAGAACGGCAGAAAGAAGGAGAGACCAGAAUGAACAGUUGCUAGUAAACUGUCUGAAAACCAUCAGCCAUGAGAACGGCAGAAAGAAGGAGAGACCAGAAUGAACAGUUGCUAGUAAACUGUGUCUGAUGGCUGCAGACCCCAGCAGCACAGACCGAGUCCUUCACAGCUUUAGACAGGAUAAGGGCUGCAGAGUCUGAGGUUGUCAGAUCCUCAAAAUUAAACCUGAAACUCUGCAACCCUGAGAGCCACCAGCUCAGCUCAGAGAGGAAGAUCAGCAGAGCAGAAAUCAACAUAGUCCGAUACUUCUCUGACUGUGGUGCCACCAUCAGACCAAAGUCUGCACUUCCUAACAGAGUUUUACACAUGGACGUGUGCUUUUAGAAAACUGCUCCAUCUAACAGAGGAAAUCUGACCAAACUAUCCAGACUGUGGUUUCUAAGCCUUCAGAGCCAUCAUGCUGACCCCUGUCUGUCUCUCUCAGGGCUUUUAAACACAUGCAGACAUGCUAGUCUGACUGAAAGCGGACUAAUCCAGAUUCCUCAGUCGGACUGAAACACCACAGUGCAGUAGAUCAGGUUUUUCUCAGACCAGACCAGACCAGCCUCCGGGUUCAUCAUCUGGACCUGGACCCAGAGUCGUCUACCUCAGGAUUCUAACAGUCUCAGAGCUAACACAGGAUCACACCCCCACUUAAACUUCUGGUGCCCUCUUUAGGGGACCAGGACUCCAGGUUGGGAACCAAGGAGAUAGAGAAAGAGCAUAUAUCACAUCUGUAGCAGAAAUAAAGCUGGUAUGAAGGGGAUUACAGAGUUACAGUUCAGCAUGUCUGGGGGCUAAUUUGUUCCAGUAGUAACAGGCAGAAAGGGACUUUGGGUCACCAUCAGUAAAGACAGACAUGCUAACAAACCCUCAGCAGAUGCUCACUGGAAAACUACAUACUAACUGAGCUGUUAGCUUGAUUUCACUGAAUAUAAAAAUAUAAUGAAAAAUGCA